AACGAACGCUGGCGGCAUGCCUAACACAUGCAAGUCGAACGAGACCUUCGGGUCUAGUGGCGCACGGGUGUGUAGCGCGUGGGAACCUGCCCUUAGGUUCGGAAUACCUCCCCGACAGGGGUACUAAUACCGGAUCGUGUCUUCUGCCCAAAGAUUUAUCGCCUUUGAAUGUGCCCGCGUUGGAGUCGCUAGUUGGUAGGGUAAAAGCCUACCAAGGCGCGGAUCCAUACCUGGUCUGAGAGAAUGAUCAGCGACUCUGGGACGGGGACACGGCCCAGACUCCUACGGGAGGCAGCAGUGGGGAAUAGUGGACAAUGGGCGAAAGCCUGAUCCAGCAAGGCCGGGUGAGUGAUGAAGGCCUUAGGGUUGUAAAGCUCUUGUACCCGGGAUGAUAAUGACAGUACCGGGAGAAUAAGCUCCGGCUAACUCCGUG
rnacentral:rRNA from 1 species